AUAGUCAGUCAUCCAUACAUUUAUGUAAGAACCCUGUUUUUCACGAACGCACUAAACACAUUGAUGUUAGACUACACUUUAUUAGAGAUAUAGUAUCUCAAGAGGUGGUGAAACUUGAAAAAGUUCACACACAAUACAAUCCUUUAGAUAUGAGCACGAAGGUGCUGCCACUGGUAAAAUUUAGAAGUUGCAAGGAUCUUCUAAACAUUGGUACAUGUAAAUGAUUUCCAAUUUUAUCGAUUUUCUAUUAGAGGUGUUACUAAUGGAAGGCGUUUUCUUUUUGCAGGUCCUUUGACACCAAGGUGGAGGUUGUUAGACAAAUUUGUUGUCAAACGACCUCCCUCGGGCUAUGAUGUUACUCGGUUUAAUUUUUCAGUCGGUUUAGCCAAAUGACUGAACGGGAAUCCAAUACCACAUUCAAGACGAUACAACCCAAAGGUUAAUUGGGCCACUCGAAGCAACCUAAAUACUUUAGUGUUGCUCGUGGCUCAAUCCACUCCCUUGGAUGGCAUUUAAUUGAGAGAAAAGCUUGUGAGCCCACUUAACUAUCUUUUGGGCCUUUGGCCUAACCCAUUAGUUAACCUACUUAAACUUACCUUAUUUGGGCUAUUGGUAAAACGGUUAAAUUGGCUUCUUUUCUCACUAAGUGAGAGAUGUCUCACCCCUCGCUCUCUCUUGGCUGGUUUUCUAUGAUUUCUCUUCUACUCUUCUGCCUCUUUGUGGAUACCAUCUAAGUGGUGAUAUUAAAUGAGAUUUCUUCUACCUUUGUGGUCUCAAUAGUGGAAUAUCUCAUUGGCAAUCGGAAGUGGAGCUUGGUAUUGUCUUGGUUCGUAGUUGUCGGCUUUGUGGUGUUGGAAGUGGGUAUAAACUGAGCCUGGGUUAUCUUUGGUGAUCAAUACCAUCACCUUACAGUAGGUUAUUCCAUUGCCACCAGAAAAGAAGCUACCAUCCCAAGACCUAUGAAUGGGCCAGCCUGCACCAGUCAAUGUGCCAACAAAGAUAGGUAUUUCUAUGAUUAUUGGCUAGUUCUUAAUUCUGUUUUUUUAUUAACGUCAUAUUUUUGUAACAUUGCUGAAGGAAGAAGCAAAGGUUUGAAGCAUGUCAAUGCUAAAGAUUAAAAUAUAACAAACAUUAAUAGGUUAUAUUCUCUCUACAUGUUAGGAAUUAAGAAAUUUUCAGAGGCCAGUCUAUAUCAAAGUUGGUAUAUAUAUAUAUAACGGACCCUCUUGCUUUCUUUCAUCCAUAUUAGUUAAGUAGCAGUAUACCAAGUAUCAAAAAGGAAUCUCUAAAUCAUUAGAAGUUAGUAUUUUAAUAUAAAUUAUUGAAUUAAACAUAAUGUUAUUGCCUCAGCCAUGACCUCGAACUUCCAAGACCAGAGGGAAUUGUAUUAAGUCCAGGAAUACCAAAAAGGUACUCGGAGGCCUCCUGAGUUUGUUUAGAACUUUCUUAUCUGCCUUCCACUUCUGGGUCUACCUUGUAUCUACUUUGGUGAAUGUCUUUCUCUUCCCAGCUUCCAUGAAAUUGAAAAGAUAAUCACAAUACAUUACUUUGACAUCUCAAAGGAAGUGAAGCAAAGAGUGAGAAAGUUGAGUUUGUACAGCUAUUUUCUUCUUCUUAGUUAUUAGAAAGAAAAAUACAGAUGUUGUCAAUGUUCGUUAGAGGUCAUCUAACUACUAAUUUCUCAGUGUAUAAUUUUUUGAAACAUGACUACAUUACAUGGUUCUUAUGAAAAAUCAAAAUGAAAUGUCACUCACUUCAUUUUCUAUCGACUACAGAUUGGAAAGUCACUCUUCCAUAUAUUGAAUGUUUCAUUGACAUGUACGCGUAUCCUUAAUGAUCUAAGUUGCCAGUAUUCUGAUCUUGGUUGCUUACAAUAGGAGCUUCAUAUUCCAAUACAUUUUUGUGAAUUAAGCUAUGGAAGCACAUACAUUACAGGGAUACAAAAGGCUGGAUCCAUCCUGUGACUAAGGAGAAAUAUGUAAUGAAACUAGUCUUAUCAAAAUUUUGGAACUUGGCUGGGCUUUUUAUUUUGGAUUCCAUUAUAGUUUAGACUGUGUUUUUAUAGUUGGAAUUGGAAUUGACUUGUAAAGAUGCUAUAUAUUAUUUUGCCUCGUA
rnacentral:lncRNA from 1 species